UGGGGAAUUUUGGACAAUGGACGCAAGUCUGAUCCAGCCAUGCCGCGUGCGGGAAGGAGGCCUUCGGGUUGUAAACCGCUUCUGUCAGGGAAGAAACGAGUUUCUCUAAUACAGAGACUUAAUGACGGUACCUGAAGGAUAAGCACCGGCUAACUACGUGCCAGCAGCCGCGGUAAUACGUAGGGUGCAAGCGUUAAUCGGAAUUACUGGGCGUAAAGCGUGCGCAGGCGGUUAUGCAAGACAGAUGUGAAAUCCCCGGGCCCAACCUGGGACCUGCAUUUGUGACUGUAUAGCUAGAGUACGGUAGAGGGGGAUGGAAUUCCGCGUGUAGCAGUGAAAUGCGUAGAUAUGCGGAGGAACACCGAUGGCGAAGGCAAUCCCCUGGACCUGUACUGACGCUCAUGCACGAAAGCGUGGGGAGCAAACA
rnacentral:rRNA from 1 species